CACCGCUAUCUUCCUCCAAAACACGAUAGGUCUUCGUCUUCGCCGUCUCUCCCCACCUGGGCCGCCGCCGCCUGUGCUCGUCGUCUCGCCAUCCCUCCCCACCUCCGCGUCAUCCUCGAAGACACAUCGUCUAGCCGGAGCUGUUCCCGUCGCCACCAAAACAGGGGAGAGGAUAUGGCGGGCUAGGGAAGUCCGUUGUGCUGUUGCAAGCCGGCCGCCAGCGCGUGCAGAAGCAGUUCCAGCCAAUUCUCCACAUCUCCGCUGUCGUGCAUCUCCACAGACGCUUGCUCAAGCUUGAUAUUGUUACUAUAUACCAAGAUGAUUGGAGGUCAAAUUGGUGGAGAUGAAUCAGACCAUGCAAGAUCAAAUUGGCUGUAAAUUACAGAGUUUGAAGCUAACAGAAUUUUCUCCAUUGGCCAUCCUCGUUAGAGAUCCUAGCUGCUGCUUCAUACUCCAGAUCUCCGUUGGCGAGAACAUCCCACAGACAAGAGAGGGGCUCCAAGAUCCACGCCGUCCGGCUGCCAUAGUCGAUCUCCUCCUUGUGAUCGGCCGAG